rnacentral:rRNA from 1 species
UACGGAGGGUGCGAGCGUUGUCCGGAAUCACUGGGCGUAAAGGGUGCGUAGGCGGGUUUCUAAGUCAGAGGUGAAAUCCUGGAGCUCAACUCCAGAACUGCCUUUGAUACUGGAAGUCUUGAGUAUGGGAGAGGUGAGUGGAACUGCGAGUGUAGAGGUGAAAUUCGUAGAUAUUCGCAAGAACACCAGUGGCGAAGGCGGCUCACUGGCCCAUUACUGACGCUGAGGCACGAAAGCGUGGGGAGCAAACAGG